rnacentral:rRNA from 1 species
AAGCGGUGGAGCAUGUGGUUUAAUUCGACGCAACGCGAAGAACCUUACCAGGGCUUGACAUCCCCUGACCGCGUAUGAAAGUACGUUUUCACCCUCGGGUGACAGGGAGACAGGUGGUGCAUGGUUGUCGUCAGCUCGUGUCGUGAGAUGUUGGGUUAAGUCCCGCAACGAGCGCAACCCCUACGUUUAGUUGCUAACGCGUGAAGGCGAGCACUCUAGACGAACUGCCGUUGACAAAACGGAGGAAGGUGGGGAUGACGUCAAAUCAUCAUGCCCCUUAUGUUCUGGGCUACACACGUGCUACAAUGGCCGGUACAGACGGAGGCGAAGCCGCGAGGCGGAGCAAAUCCGAAAAAGCCGGUCUCAGUUCGGAUUGCAGGCUGCAAUUCGCCUGCAUGAAGUCGGAAUCGCUAGUAAUCGCAGGUCAGCAUACUGCGGCGAAUACGUUCCCGGGUCUU